rnacentral:lncRNA from 1 species
UAAUAUUUAAUUACAUAUAUAUAUGGUUAUCAGGUAUUGUGGAUUCAUGGCUUCCAAUAAACGCAAGCGUCUAUUGUUAAUUACCCCUUCAAAGUGUUAGGGCAUCUUCGAUUAAGAGACCUCUGUAAUGCUGAAAUAGACUGAAAUUGAAUAAAAUGUGGAUUUUAUAACAUAAUCCAUUGUAUAGUUACAUGGCUUAACCAGGGGCAUACCCCCAGUGUACAUGAAUGAAUAUGACGGUUGAUUGAACUUGAUUCUGAAUCAAAGUGUAUGAUCAAAUUGAUUUGAUUGGGCUCUAUAUGUUUCAGUGCUCAACAAUAUUGUUCACCCUAAGGUGAGGGAUUGAUUAA